rnacentral:rRNA from 1 species
GCAGUAGCCACGGUAAUACGGAGGGUGCAAGCGUUAUCCGGAUUUAUUGGGUUUAAAGGGUCCGUAGGCGGAUCUGUAAGUCAGUGGUGAAAUCUCACAGCUUAACUGUGAAACUGCCAUUGAUACUGCAGGUCUUGAGUAAAUUUGAAGUGGCUGGAAUAAGUAGUGUAGCGGUGAAAUGCAUAGAUAUUACUUAGAACACCAAUUGCGAAGGCAGGUCACUAAGAUUUAACUGACGCUGAUGGACGAAAGCGUGGGGAGCGAACAGGAUUAGAUACCCCGUAGUCCCUGUCUCUUAUACA